AAGAUGGCCUUGCACUGAGAGAGAGAGAGAGACAGAGAGAGAGAGAGAGAGAGAGAGAGAGAGAGAGAGAGAGAGAGAGGUAUAGGUAAGAAGUAAAUACAACUGGAAACAUAUUUUUAGUUAGGAAAAAUUUUGCAAGAUGCCCUGUUUAUAAAACAGAAAAUUAGAGAUAACAGAAUUUUUCUCAGAAUGCUAAAAUCAAUAUGCAAUGAAGAUAACAUACUAAAUGAUACGCUGCUGAUCACUAUUUCUGCAGAAGGACAGCUCAAGUUCAACAGCAAUUCCUGCCAGAUCCAGCCAGGACUCAGAUGCUUCCUACCACCUUCUCUGAAAAGAAGAAGCCACCGUCAUCUCAGGUUGGAAGCCACCGUCAUCUCGUCUGCUUGUGG
rnacentral:lncRNA from 1 species